rnacentral:rRNA from 1 species
UAGCGAAGGGGGCUAGCGUUGUUCGGAAUUAGCUGGGCGUAAAGCGCGCGCAGGUCGGUCUUCCAAGUCAGUGGUGAAAGCCCGGAGCUCAACUCCGGAACUGCCAUUGAAACUGUUAGACUUGAGGAUGAGAGGAGGUGAGUGAAUUCCCAGUGUAGAGGUGAAAUUCGUAGAUAUUGGGAAGAACACCGGUGGCGAAGGCGGCUCACUGGCUCAUUUCUGACGCUCAGGCGCGACAGCGUGGGGAUCAAACAGG